CUCUGAUCCUUUGUUACAGUUCAAGAGGCUCCUGUUUCUGCAGAGGAUCAAAGGACACCAAUGAUUACAUAUAAAACCAGCGCACACAGAAAUCAGGACCUCCUCUGCUGACUUCUCCUCUGCCUCCAGGGCUGGCAGCCAGACUUGCUGCUUCCUGCAGUGCCAUCACCCGGGAGCAUGGGAAAAAGAGAGUGCUCCAGAUCCACUGUGACACUCCCCAAAGGACAAGAUGCACGUGUCAAAGGUGCAGGUGCAGAUGCAGUGCACUCACGUAUGGGUUAAGGAACUGCACAGGGAAGAAUACGGUAAAGGAUUUUGUGGAGGCCCUUUGCCGAAUGUCUGUUUUCAUGAGUUUGCCUUUUAACAUCAGAAGGCUGGACACAAUAUUCUCCAACUGAGCCAUUAAAGGUGCUUCACUCAUCCUCCAGACAGAGCUUCUGGGGGGUGCCAGUAAGACUACAUCAACUGCAGAGAGAGAAAAAAAGAAAGGAAGCACCGAGUGCAAACCUGUCCCCUCUAUGGCCUGGUGUUCUAAAAGAGUCAACCUCACUUCUGGAACAAAAAUGAAGAUGCUGUUGGAGUUGUAAUGCACUGAAAAAACAGCACUCUUUCUCCUCUUCUUCUGACAGAAUGCUUCAGUUAAACAAAAGCUAUAUUUGUGACAUGAGAUAUGUCUGCAGCCCUCCAGGCCUGCCAGUCAACCUGUCAGCCCGACGCUGAAUCUUGUAAAGCCUAACCAUCCGCACUUCCUCCAACGUGGUUGUUACUGCGAUCAGCUUUACACAUGAAUUAGCACAGAGGCUUAUUCUGCAUUCCCUCAGUGGCCAGGUUCUCUCACCUAUAGUUCAUGUCUUUGUAUAACGCUAUUUUUCUUCUAUGUGUGCCUUCAAUGUGAGGCACACAGCUAAGAUAUUUCCUGGCAAACAGAUUGGGCAUAUAUUUGGGAUAGUUUGAAAUUCUCUGCAGAAAACCUGUUGAUUAGCUUAUGGAUUAAGUUUACUAAAAAAAGAAAAGGAAAAACAAACAUGACAUAGUUUAGAGAUGAUCUGAAUUCUUUUAAGGUGGAAGCAAUUAUAGAGAGGACUAUUCUAUACAGAUCUACUAUAGAUAAAAAAAGGUAGAUAAAAUUCAGCAAAUGCUCACUCAUGGUAAUAUCUGCAAACGAUCAUAGAAAGCAAUUAAACAUUUUCUUGAGAGGAAAGCUUAAGUUCAGCUAAUUAAAUACGAAGAAAUAUCAGCAUACAGAAUGAGGGUGCAACCAUGUUGAAAGGUCCAGAAUUGCCAUCCCAAAAGAUCACAAGAGAAGUUGAAUAUAAGCAGCAGCAUUUUUCAAGAGAAAUUUAACAGCAAAGAUUUAAACUUGAAAACACAGACUGUACUUGAAAAAAAAAUCUGUCUGAAAAAUAGGUGAUGGCAACACCAGUUGGAAAACAAAUAAAGCUUAAAAGGAAAACUGCAAGUAAGUUUCUUUUCCUGAUCUCAUUCCUGCCCAAAUCAAAUGAGGCUCAUUUUUGCCAACAUAACAUUCAAAGCUACAAAGCCAACCAAGUUCCACAAUUGAAGUGAAGGCAGUGAAGGCAAGAACCUCUAAUUAAGUCUCCAAAAGAGCCCCACCCAUACAUGUAAUAGAGAGGACUAUCGUACCAUUCAGUAUCAAAUGACAAGAGACUCAAGAUGAUGUCAUGCGUCAGUUUACCCUGGAGAAAGCUUCUUUUACCCAGAAGCCUGGAUGCUUUUUGAAAAUGAAUUCGUAGAUGACAAAACAUUCUGAAAAAUCUAACAAAAUCUGAAGGAAGACACUAAUCUGAUUUGCGUGUUUCUGCGUGCAAAACAAAACUAUUUCCCUGCCAAAAUCAGAGCAAGCACGUAUCUGCGUGUAUCUACAAUAGAUCCCAACUGACUCUUUUCAUAAAAUACAAUUUCAGUGCACACAAAGCCUGACAGUGACUGUACUGAAACUGCAGCACAUACACCCAUCAGAAUAACAAGCAAUAUACCCCAUAUAUGCUUACAUCCAGGCAAAACAUUCACAAAUAUGACAACUUCACUUUCAUCAUCUGGCAACCCAGCAAUCAACCAACUUUUGUCCUUUCUUUCUAUCCCGACAGCUACAUUCAAGAGCUCUUUGUCUCUCAUUUUGAUUAUUGUAAUUACCUCCUUCCUCGCCUCCUUAGCAGCAAAAUUCCUUCCCUCCUCCCAUACAUUACACAAAUACGGUUACCGAGUUCACUUUAGCUUUUUGAUCAAACUUGCACUAUCUGCCAUCUGCCAUAAAGGUGAAUUUUUCUGUUGGCAAUGUUGCACCAGCCAUCUGAGAGUCCUCUUUCAUCUAGACCAGUGGUUUGUACUUUAAUCACCUUCCUUAAGUGUCUCACAUUCAGUGGGAUUU